rnacentral:rRNA from 1 species
GUGGAAGUUACUAAGGGCGUACGGGGGAUGCCUUGGCUCUCAGAGGCGAAGAAGGACGUGAUAAGCUGCGAAAAGCUGUGGGU